UGUGUUUAACCCUCAUCUCAACGCCACAGGUUGGUACACGGUUCCCAUGUCAUGGAUGAGGCAACUACAGUUCAGGUGAAAUAAACUCAAGGUCCCACAGCUCGGGGUAGCAGACCUAAGAUGUAAACCCCUGUUCAGACUCCUUCUAUGCCUCUGGAGAAGGAGGGGCAGUCUCCUCCAGGACAUCCCUUCUCUUGCUGCAUGUGUCUACACAAGUCAUGUGGCCUUGAAGUAUGACUGUCCCAUGUGUGACCCUGCCAGGGAGAAGAUGCUGGUGAAUAAUACACUCUCCCUAUGGCCCUGGGGAGUUCCUGGAGCUGCCAGGUGACAUGAAGCACAUACCCACAGCCCUGCUACCAAACAUCUCCCUGUCUUGGGCUGACUGGGUAUCACGAAUUUCCCCUUUAAGAACCACUGAUUGCUCAAGCUAGAGGGGAGACGAAUGCUGACCUACCCAGCAAUCACAAAGAGGAAGCUUAGAGCCCGGGAGAACAGAGAAAGAGCAAUUCAUGACAGCUGGGAAGGACAGGGCGGCUUCACGCAGAGGUGGGAUCUGAGACGCGCAGGGUUUCAGCAGAGCUGUGUGUGGGGUGAGGUCACUGCCCUGGAGGGGCAGCAUGAGCACAGGCCUGCACCUGCUAGCCGGGCUGACAUCUGUGAACCAGCCACAGCCAACCUCCCAGUACCCACACCUGGGCCCAGCAACCUAGGGGGCCUUAUCUGCAUGGCCCAGGCCCAGGGACACGACGGGGUUUGGCUCUGUGUACUGGGCAGGGCAGAGCUGUGGAAGGUCAGCAGCAUGUGGCUUUUGUUGACCUCAAAAGGGUCUAAAAAACAUCUUGACUAGUAGUAAAGUCUCUUUCUUCGUCAGGGUUGCUAUCCCGAGACAUACAGCCUUGGUGGGGCUGGGCAGAGGUGUAGCUGCCCACGCAGGGACACCCCUCCAUGUACCCACCACUCCUCUGAAAAUACUCCCAUGCUCCUGCUGGAGCUCUGGGGGCACCAGCAAACUGUCACCACAGCUUAUGGCUUGAGGAGCCUCAGCCUUCCUGGGGAGGCAGGGGGAGCCCACAUGGAAGCAGGACAAUCAGACUGAGGGGCUGCAGGGGCCUUGGAGUCUGAACAGUGGGUGUCAUAUGUGGGGCGAAGUCCCUGGAAGGGUACUUUCAAGAAGACGGACUUGAAACAACAUGAACGUGGAAUCUGAACAAAGAAUAUGAGAGAGGAUGUUCCAGGUAGAGACUUAGCUUGAGCAAAGGUGCGGAGAAGGAAUUUAUUUGCUGGGAAAGCCAGGGAGAUGGGACUGGCUGACUGCAGGUCUACCGUGAAGCUGAAAUACAACUCAGAUGUGACCAAGGCUCUGGCCAGAUACAAAAGCACAGGGGCUAAAUAAGCUGGAGACACCAGCUACGGAGAGCAAAAUGAAGCCCUGCUGUUCUGAGACCUCACUUCAGCUGGAGUAGAAGUGGGGUACAGCACCCCCAAAGGCAUGCCCAGGGCUAGGCCAGGACUGGCCAUACUCUCCCACUACCAUUGCCCCCCACCCAAUGAGCCCCUGGGCCUGGCAUCAGGACUGAAGUUUUGUGUUUUCCCAGAGCAGAUCCCUUACGAUGGCAUAAACACUGCCUCAGGGGCUGGAAGCAAAACUUUCCAAAGAGCUGAAAACAGAAAGUAAAUAGCUGGAUGGUUCUGGCUGACUAGGAUAGGGCUGCCAACAGAUUGCUGCUUCAGAGAUGAGUGAGGCUCAGUAGAGCCGCCUGCCUUGUUCAACUUUCACCUCCUUGGCUGGCUGCCUUCCCCUGUGGUGGCUCCCAGAGUCCUCUCCAAAGGCUGGGACUAGGACUUCCUUGUGCUAAGGAGAGUAGCAAACUCAGCAGCUGCACCUAGGAGCAGGGGUGAAGCGAGGAUAAGACACGCACAACAGGGGCCCAGCCUUGAGAGGCAAAUCCUAAAUCUGACCACCUAGCCCAGCCGCAGUGUGUCUGGGCUCCACGCUCUGAGCUCACCCUCCAUUCCUGCCUUAGAGUUCUGGUCAUGUGGUUCUCACUACCUACAUGCUGCCUCUGUUCCUCCCCACCCCCCGAUGCCUCCCUUUCCUUCCUCCGAGAAGGCUUCCCUGACAACCGGCCUAUUCCGCAGGGCCUGGGUCACCCCCUCAGCCCAGGCCUCAGUCUCCCAGUCUACACCGUGAAGACGCCAGACUAGAUCAAGACUCUUCAACCUUCUGAACCCACUCCCUGCCAGUGAGAGGGAAGGGUUAAAGUGACACUCUUGGAACUCCUGGCUCCUCCCAGACUCUGGCCUCAGCGCUCAGGCAACUUGAGCCUAGCACCUGCCCAGCAGACCCGUAGGCCCUUUCCCUCACGGUGCCGGCCAAACUGCAUCUGGGCCAAGGUGGGCACCAGCCAAUUCUGGCUGCUUCCCCUGACUUUUGUACACCCUUGGCCAGAGAGCUCACCUCCUCCUCAAAGCUUUGUGGGGCCUUAAUCAGAAGCUCUUUGACCUCUGGGACUCCUCCUGGGGCUCUGCAGAGGGCUAGGGACUUGGUAGCUAAAAGAGGUGAGGUAAUAGGUCAGGGCUUCUUGCCCCAAGAUGGGCAGCUCAGCCAUGAGGCCUGGACCACAGGCUGAGAAGAGGAUACCAGGCUCAGGAACUUCUCUUGGACUCCAACCAUCUGAUCUGGUGACUUUGUGGAGGACUGGGUUCUUCUACCAAGACUGUGUUUCUCUUAGAUGGCUCUGGGCUUGGGGAAGGGAAACCAAGGGACAGAAGAAUUCUUUGGGCUCCCGGGAGAAAAGAAGCAGCCUCAGGACUCAAAGGCAGGCAGGCCUCGGACUUCUGAGGCUAGGGCUCUACCACCCUUAGGUGGGGGCAGUGGGUCAUACUGGGUCUCUAACUCAGGGUCUGAACUGAGCACACAAUCAACUGCUAGGGCCCUGAGCAAUGCUCUCCAUCCUUCUGGGGCUGCCCUGUGGGGUCUAACUUCCCGGGUCCCUGCGGCUCCCUGCACCUGGUACUAAGCUUUUGAUGAUGUCCCUAUCCCUUAGCAUUUUUUUCCUACUAGUCCCCCCAGAAUGUAACAGCACAAGAGGGGAAGUUGUCUCAAUAACAAUGAUGAUUAAAAUAACAAUAGUUAACAUUCAUAUAGUUCCUACUAUGUCAUGUGCUAAAAACUGCUCUAAGCACUUAACAUCUUAGUUAACCCUACACAAGCUCUAGGAGGCAGGUACUGUUUCACCCAUUUUUCAGAUAAAGAAACUGAAGCACAGAAAAGGUAGGUAACUUGCACCAGGUUACACAGCUAGAAAGUGGCAAAACUGAGCUCUGAACUUAGGCUGUCUGGAUUCAGAGGCCAUGUGCCUAACCGCUAUACAAAACUGCCUGAUAGGAGAGAAGAGGGACGUAUAGCCACAAAUUAAGUCCGUGUUGCCUCCUCAGACCUUGUUCAGCACCUCAGAAGGCCAGCAGCAGAGCCAGGGCAAGAAACCAGGUUUGGGCUUCCCUGGUGGCGCAGUGGUUAAGAAUCCGCCUGCCAAUGCAGGGGACACAGGUUCGAGCCCUGGUCCGGGAAGAUCCCACAUGCCACGGAGCAACUAAGCCCGUGCACCACAACUACUGAGCCUGUGUGCCACAACUACUGAAGCCCGUGCGCCUAGAGCCCGUGCUCUGCAAUGAGAGAAGCCACUGCAAUGAGAAGCCUGUGCACCACAACGAGAGGGGCCCCCGCUCGCCACAACUAGAGAAAGCCCGUGCGCAGCAAUGAAGACCCAACGCAGCCCUAAAAAAAAAAAAAAAAAAAAAAAAAAAGAAAGAAACCAGGUUUGCUGACUCAGCUCCCCAACUGCCUGGAGCACCUCAAUCCCGAUGAUGUCUGAAACACUGUGGUCUGGCCAAGUGGAGGUGAGAACUCUAAGGUGGGCGGGGGCAGUUGGACAACUCAAGGCUUUCAAGGGGACACUCGUGCCUGGCCUUGUUGCCGACCUCCUGCCUCCUACACACACUCCUCAUGAACAGUAGCAUCUGGCCCCAGGCUUGUGGUUAGUCCAGGAGCUCAGAUGACAGGUUGAUUCUUGCUCUUUACUUCUGAUUCCUAUCCUGACUGCUUUGGUCCAGGCUGAUCUCUCCCCAGCUCUGACCUCCUCUCUAGCACAUACUGUUUGUACUUCCCAGUUACCACAUUCUGUUGAUUCUCUGAGAGAUUUUUCUCCAAAUCCACAGCCUUCAAAGCCUUUCCUUCAUCUUUGCUGAAUUCUACUCAUGCCACCCUACAUGGCUCUGUCUUCCUUUCCCUGUACGCAUUCUCUUUGUUUUGUUUUACUUAAGUACUAAUAUAGGCUAAUGUCAUUUGAGAAAGUUAGUGAGUGGUUUGGUGGCCAGUGCCUCUCAAGGAACUGUGACCUCCCUGAAGAGGGUCCAUGGCACCACGUCUAGCACUUUAAGCACGACGGGCGCUUGGUGGAGUUGGUGGAACUUCCAUAUAAAGCUCAAUCCCCUGGGGAAAUGUGAGCUUUGGCGGGGGAAGGGACCACAGUUCCUUCUCUGUCUACUUCUGCACCUAGCUCAGGACUAUGGCUUUGUAAAUUUGCUGAAAGAUGUACAUUUCAAGUUUGAGGCCCAAACAACUUUCCUACUCUCUGGCCUGCCUGUCCUCACACCCACCUCGGGCUCUCCUAGUCAUCGAUGGUGAGUUACUGGAGGGUUCUGAGUGGAGAAGUCACAUGAUUUAUUCGAUGAUUUACUUAACGUCUUAAAAACUUAACAGGAUACUGUAUGGGGAAUGGGGGCAAGGGGAGAAGCAGAAAGGCAAGUUAGGAGGCUCCUGCAACAAUCUAGGCGAGAGGUGAUGACAGUUUAGACCAGGUAAUGGUGGGAGUGGUGAGCAGUGGAUGGAUCUGAAUUUAGAGGGAGAGCUGCCAGAAUUUCCUGGUGGAUUGGAAAUCAAGGCAUCAGAGAGGAUUCUAAGGGUUUUGGCAGGAACAACUAAACUAGAAGGAUAGAAUAUCUAUUAACUGAGAUGGGGAAGACCAAGAAACAGAGCUGAGGAAUAAAAUCUGGAGUUGAGUUUGGAUAUAUUGAGUAGGCAGCUGGACAUACGAGCCUAGAGUUAGAGGAGAGGUCUGGGCUAAGAUAAUCAUUAUGAGUCUUCGGCAUAUUGAGGGGAUUUAAAGCCUUGAGAUCAGACAGGAUCAUCUAGAAAGUAAGUGUAAAUAGAGAAGUCUAAAGACCACACCCUGGUCACCCCUAUUAACAAGUAGGGGAAAUGAAGGAGAACCAGCAAAGGCGGCUGAGCAGGAGCCGCCAACAAGGGAAGAAGAGAACCAAGAAGCACUGAUGCCUUAGAAACAAGUGAAGAAAAUGUUUAAAGGAGAGAGAUCAACUGUGUCACAUGCCGCUGAGAGAUCAAAGCAACUGGGCACUCAGAUUUAAUAACUGGUUUAGGAAUAUGGCGGGUUUGUUUUGGAUUUUGACAACCUUGAAGAGUCCCUCCCUCCUCCGGUGGUAGAGUGGGGUAAGAGUCAGAUUACAGUGGCCAAUCACACUGGCUGCAGUAUGGAGACGCAUGGUGGUGGGAAAGUGUGGCUGUGAGUAAGAGUAGUUAGAAACAGCCAUGGGGGAGCUGACUGGGGCUAGAUAAUGAAAUGGUGAGAAGUGAGUGGAUUCAAAGAUAUUUAGGGGACAGAAUUCACAGGCCUUGGUGAUGGUGGGUUGUGGGGGAUAAGGGUGUAGGAGGGGGCUUCCCUGGUGGCGCAGCGGUUGCGCGUCCGCCUGCCGAUGCAGGGGAACCGGGUUCGCGCCCCGGUCUGGGAGGAUCCCACAUGCCGCGGAGCGGCUGAGCCCGUGAGCCGUGGCCGCUGAGCCUGCGCGUCCGGAGCCUGUCCUCCGCAACGGGAGAGGCCACAGCAGAGGGAGGCCCGCAUACCACAAAAAAAAAAAAAAAAAAAAAGGGUGUAGGAGGAGGGGAAGACAACACACAUGCUCUGGCAGGAGUAACUACAUGACUGUGGUCGUUUUACUGAGAUAAGGAAUGCCGGUGGUAGAGGGAGUGUGCAAAGGAAGAUGACAAGCUCAAGGUUUGGAUGUGCUGAAUUGUUUGUAACAUCAAGUAAAGACUUCUAGGAUGUAGGUGGAUCCACGUGUGUCUGCAGCAUGGCAGAGAAGUCUGGACUGAAGAUAAGGAUUUGAGGUCAUCAAACUGUAAUAAUAACCGAAAUAACUGAAGUGGUUGAAAUUUUCCCAAAGAAACAUCUACAAGAGCAGAAGACAUAAGUCUGGGGAAAACAACAUGUACAUUAGUGCUGUCUCAUCCUCUACCUCCCCUUUUAGAAAAAUUGAUAAAACUAGUUUGCCCCUGGCAGCUAAGCAAACAGAAUCAGAAGUAACUAUAAAUAAAACCAGGGAGCUGUCCCAAUGAAGAGUUACUUUAUCACAAAGAGGAAAGAGAAAGCAGAGGCAGCAGAACCUGAUUCAUAAGGAAUUUCAAAUGUGCCACUGGAUGGCUGUUCGAUGGUCCUGCUAGACCCGCCAUCCUCCUCCCUCCUUUGCUUCUUGAAGAGGUGACAACCAGAAGAUGAAACAGUCAUGAGGAAGGGGGGCUGAGAGCUGGCCUCUAUACCCUAUCUGUGUGACACCUGGUGCUCUUCAGUGCAACCAUGCUUUGAGACCUGAUAACCCCAUCUGACAGGUGACACAGACUCAGAAAAAUCAGAAGACUUGACAAAGGUCACACAGAGAACUGUAUCCACUAUACUGUGGGGAAAAGAGGGGAAAACACCUGUUUCACAAAUGCUAGAAAUGGAGACUGUCUAGGAGGUUCCUGGGUUCAGGUGCAUUUUUUCAGUGUGGUUGAAGGAUUAGGCCUUCCCUUAGAUCUUGUGGUGAAGCCAGGUGAGCUAAGUAUAGCUGUCCCAGGACACUGGUUGAGAAGAGUCAGCCUCUCAAAAUGCUCCUCUUCAGCCUUCAGAGCCUUAGGAAGAGGCAAAAUAGAUGGAAUCCUCAAGUUGGGGGUACAGGACAAGGCUCCUGCCCUCCCCUGCCCACCUCUCACUUUGAGCUGUUGACUGUGCCUGAAACAUAACCACAAAUAGAAGACAGAAGAGAAAACAGGGACUUCCCUGGCAGUCCAGUGGUUAGGACUCUGUGCUUCCAAUGCCAGGAGUGUGGGUUCGAUCCCUGGUCGGGCAACUAGGAUAUCGAAUGCCAAAUGGCAUGGCCAAAAAUAAAUAAAUAAAUAAAUGGACUUAAGAGAAAACAGAAGCUUCCAUCAAAUGGGAAACUCUAUCACCAAAUCUAAUCCUAUCUGCUUUAGCACCCAUCUUCUCUGUCUGCCUGUAUGCUUGUAUGCUACAGGGUGAGUUUUCUUUUUCUUCUCAACAGGCUAAUAUCUCCACAUGUGCUCUGGAUCCAGGGACUAGUCUUUCUAUUCUCUCCCUCUCCUGCAUCUUCCCCUUCUUUUCUCUACUGGUCACUGCACUGCCGUACAGAAAAAGCUGAAGCCUUUCCCAUAUAAAAAAAAACAAAACAAAAAACCAAAAAAACUUACCUUAUCUCAGAUGCUACCCCACCCGCUAUCCUAUAAUUCUGAUCCAUAUUCACAGCCAAAUCUAUGGAAGGACUUGGUGUCUCCAUUUUGUCACCAUUCAAUCAUUC